CCUACGGGAGGCUGCAGUGGGGAAUAUUGCACAAUGGGCGAAAGCCUGAUGCAGCAACGCCGCGUGAGCGAUGAAGGCCUUCGGGUCGUAAAGCUCUGUCCUCAAGGAAGAUGAUGACGGUGCUUGAGUAGGAAGCCCCGGCGAACUACUUGCCAGCAGCCGCGGCAAUACGUAGGGGGCUAGGGUUAUCGGGAAUUACGGGGGGAAAGGGGGGCGUAGGUGGUUUAUUAAGUCAGAGGUGAAAGGCUACGGAUAAACCGUAGUAAACCUUUGAAACUGGGGAACUUGAGUGCAGGAGAGGAGAGUGGAAUUCCUAGUGUAGCGGUGAAAUGCGUAGAUAUUAGGAGGAACACCAGUGGCGAAGGCGGCUCUCUGGACUGUAACUGACACUGAGGCACGAAAGCGUGGGGAGCAAACAGGAUUAGAUACCCUGGUAGUC
rnacentral:rRNA from 1 species